rnacentral:rRNA from 1 species
AGAGUUUGAUCCUGGCUCAGGAUGAACGCUGGCGGCGUGCUUAACACAUGCAAGUCGAACGAACCUUCGGGUUAGUGGCGGACGGGUGAGUAACGCGUGGGAAUCUGCCCUCAGGAGGGGGAUAACGGCUGGAAACGGCCGCUAAUACCCCAUAUGCCGAGAGGUGAAAUGAAUUUCGCCUGAGGAUGAGCCCGCGUCUGAUUAGCUAGUUGGUGAGGUAAGAGCUCACCAAGGCAUCGAUCAGUAGCUGGUCUGAGAGGAUGAUCAGCCACACUGGGACUGAGACACGGCCCAGACUCCUACGGGAGGCAGCAGUGGGGAAUUUUCCGCAAUGGGCGAAAGCCUGACGGAGCAACGCCGCGUGAGGGAUGAAGGCCUCUGGGCUGUAAACCUCUUUUCUCAAGGAAGAAGAUCUGACGGUACUUGAGGAAUAAGCCACGGCUAAUUCCGUGCCAGCAGCCGCGGUAAUACGGGAGUGGCAAGCGUUAUCCGGAAUUAUUGGGCGUAAAGCGUCCGCAGGCGGCCUUUCAAGUCUGCUGUUAAAACGUGGAGCUUAACUCCAUCAUGGCAGUGGAAACUGUUGGGCUUGAGUGUGGUAGGGGCAGAGGGAAUUCCCGGUGUAGCGGUGAAAUGCGUAGAUAUCGGGAAGAACACCAGUGGCGAAGGCGCUCUGCUGGGCCAUAACUGACGCUCAUGGACGAAAGCCAGGGGAGCGAAAGGGAUUAGAUACCCCUGUAGUCCUGGCCGUAAACGAUGAACACUAGGUGUCGGGGGAAUCGACCCCCUCGGUGUCGUAGCCAACGCGUUAAGUGUUCCGCCUGGGGAGUACGCACGCAAGUGUGAAACUCAAAGGAAUUGACGGGGGCCCGCACAAGCGGUGGAGUAUGUGGUUUAAUUCGAUGCAACGCGAAGAACCUUACCAGGGUUUGACAUCCUGCGAAUCUCUUGGAAACGAGAGAGUGCCCUCGGGAACGCAGUGACAGGUGGUGCAUGGCUGUCGUCAGCUCGUGUCGUGAGAUGUUGGGUUAAGUCCCGCAACGAGCGCAACCCACGUCUUUAGUUGCCAGCAUUUAGUUGGGCACUCUAGAGAGACCGCCGGUGAUAAACCGGAGGAAGGUGUGGAUGACGUCAAGUCAUCAUGCCCCUUACAUCCUGGGCUACACACGUACUACAAUGCUACGGACAAAGAGCAGCAAGUUCGCGAGGACAAGCAAAUCUCAUAAACCGUGGCUCAGUUCAGAUCGUAGGCUGCAACUCGCCUACGUGAAGGAGGAAUCGCUAGUAAUCGCAGGUCAGCAUACUGCGGUGAAUACGUUCCCGGGCCUUGUACACACCGCCCGUCACACCAUGGAAGUUGGCCACGCCCGAAGCCGUUACUCCAACCCUUGUGGAGGAGGACGUCGAAGGUGGGGCUGAUGACUGGGGUGAAGUCGUAACAAGGUAACC